rnacentral:rRNA from 1 species
AGAGUUUGAUCCUGGCUCAGAACGAACGCUGACGGUGUGCCUCAUACAUGCAAGUCAUACGAGAAAUCCCGGGCUUGCUCGGGAGAGUAAAGUGGCGAACGGGUGAGUAAUACUUAGGUAACCUGCCUUAAAGAGGGGGAUAACCCUGCCAACGCGGGGCUAAUACCGCAUAAGGUAAUUAAAUCGCAUGGUUUUUUUACUAAAGAUGACCUCUACUUGUAAGUUAUCACUUUAAGAUGGACUUGGGUUCUAUUAGCUUGUCGGUAAGGUAAAAGCUUACCAAGGCUACGAUGGAUAGCCGGCCUGAGAGGGUGAACGGCCACAUUGGGACUGAGAUACGGCCCAGACUCCUACGGGAGGCAGCAGUAGGGAAUUUUGCGCAAUGGGCGAAUGCCUGACGCAGCAACACCGUGUGGAUGAUGAAGCUUUUCGGAGUGUAAAGUCCUGUCAAGAGGGAAGAAUAUUUUAAUCGAAAAUAUUGAUUAGAAAUGACGGUACCUCUGGAGGAAGCCCCGGCUAACUCCGUGCCAGCAGCCGCGGUAAUACGGGGGGGGCAAGCGUUGUUCGGAUUUACUGGGUGUAAAGGGAGUGUAGGCGGAUUGGCAAGUCAGUGGUUAAAUAUCCAGGCUCAACCUGGGCUCCGCCACUGAAACUGUUAAUCUUGAGUAUGUGAGAGGA